rnacentral:rRNA from 1 species
UGCGUAGGCGGCUCUUUAAGUCGGAUGUGAAAUCCCCGAGCUUAACUUGGGAAUUGCAUUCGAUACUGGGAAGCUAGAGUAUGGGAGAGGAUGGUAGAAUUCCAGGUGUAGCGGUGAAAUGCGUAGAGAUCUGGAGGAAUACCGAUGGCGAAGGCAGCCAUCUGGCCUAAUACUGACGCUGAGGUACGAAAGCAGUGGGGAGCAAACA